rnacentral:lncRNA from 1 species
AGAAAAACAAUAUUAUAAAUCCACGAUGAUGGAGAAUUCCCAGAAGAAUUAGAGAAGAUGGAGUUUUGGCCUCGUUCUUCGUUGGAAUCUCUCUCACAUGUAAACCCUAGUUACUAUGAUGAUAAUACGUCAAAAAUUAACCAAGUGUACCGAAUAUCCUCUGACACCAGUCAGAUAUCGUUUAAAACCCCUUACAAUCAUUUUAAUUAAAAAUUAAAAUAAAACAACUCAGCAGCUCCAGCUAUCGCGCUUCCUCGCGCGGGCGCGAGACUUGCAGUAAGUCAGGAUGUCCAGCCGGCCUCUCGCGCGGGCGCGCGCCCUCAGGCCUAGUAUGUCGCGCGGCCGCGCGGCUCACAGUCUGUGGAUUCUGGUUCUGGUUCUGCAAUGUUGCUGCUGUUGUUGCUUUGUCCUGCUACUCAUUCCUUCCAUGCUUGGUCUCCUUGCUCCAUUAUACCUUCAUGCCAUGCAUAUCCCCGCUUGCGCCUCGCCUUCACGCAUCCAUCAGCCUGUGCCCUCUAAUACCACCAAAUUAGGCCGAUUCUUACACUUAUUCACCAAAAGGAGUUUUAAGUACAUGCAAUGCAAAAUAGCAUGAAAUCCAACUAAAACAGACUGAAAUGUACUUGAGAUGGGCAUAAUUCGCGUAAAUUGAUAUCCAAUAAGUAGGUAUAAAACCCACUUAUCAUUACUUCAUCUGACAAAAACAUGAACUAUUUACCACUGCUUGAUUAAUCGAUAAGAUUUCAUCAAUAAUCAAAAGAUCGCAACAAAAACCAAAACACGAAAUACAACAGAUAUACAACAGUAAUGAUCCUAUAACUUCACAAAAACCAUAACUAAAUAGAUGAAUUCCAAUAACGGACUUGCUUUUCUUUCUUUGGUUACAUGAAAUGAAAAUACUAUCAAUCCAGAAGACUAAAUAUCAUCAUCACUAAUAACCAUCUAUUAAUCCAUACAGCUAGACUGUCAAGGGGUCGGACUGGAGGGUCAUACUACCUUGAAACCCGUCAAAAGAUACUUCAUAAUACAAAAAAGGAGUUCAAUAACCCCAUCAUUACUCCACAAAUGUAAUAAAAUAAAACAAUUAUAUUACCUUAAUCACAAUAUAAAUUCCAAAUCAAGUAUUGUGGACUUCCCAAAUAGUGGAUUUUAUUCCAACUCUAUUACAGACACAUACAUAGCAUAAGAAUAUAAUACAACUAAGAAAUUAUUUCAAAAUUUAUAAGAAAUUGACAACCACCAUCCAAAAAUUCACUAAUAAAAAUAGCACAAGAAUAAAUUACCUACAAGAACUUUUACCAAAUCAUCCUCUGCCGCUCUCAAUUGAGCUUUUAGGUUUCCUAGAUUAGCAAAUUAAAAUAAAAAAGAUCAGAUUAGUAACACACACACACAAAACCAAAGCAACCCAGUAACAUAAAAGUUUUGACUGUGCAAAUUGAAUCACUCAGACAACUUAAGACCAAGCAAACCCUACUCCAGAUGAGAACAAUUCUAAGUUCGUUAUAAACCAUCAAACUGCAAUAUUAAGAGAUGCUAAAAUAUAUAAUCAAGGACGAAAUUAACCGUUUGAAUGCCAUACUUGAAGAUAUGAUUUCAUUAUUUAGGUUUUUUCUUGCUAUGGUAUGCUUCUUUCUUGGGUCCGAUUCAUUAUUUGGGGCUGAUUGAACGAAUUUGAACGCCAUAUUUGAAGAUAUGAUUCCCAAUGCUAUUUUAGAUGAUAUGAAUUCAUCAUUUAGGUUUUUUAGAACCUAAGUUGUUAUUUUAGGGGGGCUUUAUUCUCAAGGGUAUUUGUGUAAAGGGUAAUUAGGAGCAUUAAUUAGGAUGGACAAGUGUUAAUUUUUUAGAAUGACAGAUGUCAUUUUAUUGUGCUAUGUACUGUGCUUUAGUAUAUAUAAUAGAUUCCACUUUAGUUAUAAUUCAAACAAGUAAGACUUAUGUGUUUUGAUGUCUGGAUUAAUGUUAAUUCACAUGACUAUAGCAGAACAAUAUAUGCAUGUGUAUGAGAGAUGUUCUAAUGUAGAAUAAAAAAUUGACAAAAUAAUAAGCACACCAAGAUUUUUUACGUGAUCCCAUAUCCUUUAAUAUAGUGACCUAAUUCACGUCAAAUAUCAAUUGGUAUUAGAGACUUUGUAUUAAAAUAAUAUUCAAUAAGUUACACAAUUACUCUUUAAACAAAUAAGCUCUGAUCUUGUUGGACACAACAACCCCCUUUCACUUUUGCAACUCUUGCAUCUCUGCAAUUUCUAGAGCUUCCUUUGUACAAUCCAUAUCCACUACUGGAUUGACCAAGCCAAACAAGAUUUGAAUUCAGGUUUUAAUAAGAAGGAAUAUAGUUACAAUAUACUAUGAUUUUUCAGUCAAAGGAAAUUAAGAACAAUACUCAAAUACUAGCUGGAAUUUUUCUUUGAAAGCUCUUAAUAUCAGAAUGUGUAUUGCAUGUAGUCUUUUGUAUGCCCUUUAGCCGGGGAAGAUGAAUAUAUAUAUAUAUAUAUAUAUAUAUAUAUAUAUAUAUAUAUAUAUAUAUAUAUAUAUAUAUAUAUAUUAUGGUCCAACGGCUAAAAAAGAUACUGAAAAUAUAAAUGCCCAAAUCACGAUUGGAGAAUAAUAGAAUUUUAGCAGCUAUAGGAAAUCAACGGAUAUGACAAGAUAUCUUUUCAAAUUAGUUUUUCAAAUAUUUUGAUUUUCAAAAUAAAACAAUUUGGAAAAACUUAAUUUAAGGGAAGAAUAUCACCAAACAAAUUGGACGUGAUAAGGCUGAUCAUAGAGUCCCAAUUAAAUUAGUUGAUUGACUUAUUAUGUUUGUAAAACCCCAACUUUUUAUGAAUAAAAAUUUAAUUUUUUUUAAAUAUUAUUUUGAAUAAUUAGGUGUUGAUUUGAUAUAAUGCUAUAGUUAUGGGUGAUAUGUGCAAAUUUUGCUAAGUAAGCAGUUGUCAUAAAAUAUUCGCUUGCUCGAAGAAUAUUCUUUUUAUCGGAGAAUAUUCGUACGACGACGCAAUUAUUGGUGGACCCCACAACAGAAUAACUGUCAAAUAUAGAAAGCGACAAAAAUAACCUUUUCAUAAAAUAACGACAAGACUUUUACCAUUAAACUAUUGAAAUACUUAGUGAUAAAAGUACAGUAAUACGCGUUGUUGCACAGUAGCACAUUGUAUUGCACAAUAUCUCUGAUUAUUGAUGUUUACGUAAGAAGUCACUCAGUUUUAUUCAAUAAUUGUCACAGUAGUUGCAUCUCAUAUUAUUGAUUCCAUUAUUGUCACAGUAUCAUCUGCACAAUUAGACCUGGCAAAUGGGUCGGGCUGGCGCCGGGCCGGGCCGGACCAAAAUAGCCCGGGUUUAGGUGGGCUAGAAUUCAGCGACUCGUGGCCCGGGUUGGGCCGGCCCGGCCCGCCCAACCCGGCCCGCGGGCUUUUUCUGUUUUUUUUUUUAAAAAAAAUCUGUAAAUCAACCCACCUCAGUAUUGAUAAACAUAUAAAGAAUAAUUGGUUAAACAUACAUUCCUCACUGCAAAAUAUUGAAAAAGAAAGAUUAACGAUAACACAACUAAAAAAAAUGAGACUGUUGCUUUCUCUAAAUUACAUUCCUCACUGCAUCUGCUGAUUCUGCUCUGUAAUCUAUAGCAUUGUUUGUUCUACUCCUACUAGAAGUUCUUACAAUUACUACCAUCUUAUUGCAACAUAACAAAGAAAGGAAAGUAGAAUGAUAAUACAUAGUGGUGACAAGAUUAAAACCAAGACUAUUCUGUUAAUUUCAUUUGACAUGUCACCACUCACCAUCAACAAAAAUAAGCUCCAAAUACAUGCUUGCAAUCCUAUCUUCUCUGAUGCAUCAAAAUAAAAAUAAAGAGAAACAAAUAUUGAGAAAGAACUAGUAUUCCAAAACCUGCUGUCCAGUAAGUACUAAAUUACAUAUGUAAGUAUACAACAAUUCCCAAAAAUAAAAUAAGAACUGAAAGAACCAAGUUAAUCAAUAGUCUACAACCUUAAAUUUUAAGUUCUCCCAUAAAGUGAUUAUUCUAAAGUCCCCCAAUAACCAGCUGCAAACAGAAAAGAAUUAAAUGCCCAAUCCUUAAUUCGUAAAAAAAACCUGAAACCAAUAAUAAAAAUGGCCCACGAUUCUGAUUUUCAAUCUUAAUCCUCAAAAUUAAAAGCUCAAAAUAACAAAACUAAAUUAAAGAACUCAACCAAAACCCUAACUAAUGUUUUAAAAAAAAUACCCAGUACACCAUAAACAAAUUGACCCCAAAUUCAAUAUGCAUCCAAGAGAACAAACAAUUAAUAGCAAGGAAAAUGAUGUAUAUAGAUAACAAAAACCACAUGCCUUGUUGCCGUCAUCGAAAGGAAUGGGGUGAGAAAGGAUUGCAAAUAUGUCCUUUUUUCAAAGUUUUAUCCAACUGGACUCUCCAAUCUCGCCAGUCGCCUCGGUCUCUCUCUCACUUCCCUCUAUCUCAGUUCUCAGUUUCAGAUCUAGAUGAGGGAGAGAUGACUAGAACUAGAAGAUUGAAGGCUAGAUGUAAAAGACUAAAAAUAUCCCAUAGCAUUAGCAAUUUAGUUUGUGAUGACUUUUAGUUUCAGAUCUAAAAGGCUAGCGAGUUAUGCUUUCUCGAACAUAGCAUUAGCAAUUUAGCAUGAUA